rnacentral:rRNA from 1 species
UACGUAGGGGGCAAGCGUUGUCCGGAUUUACUGGGCGUAAAGAGCGUGUAGGCGGCCAAGCAGGUCCGUUGUGAAAACUGGAGGCUUAACCUCCAGACGUCGACGGAAACCGCGUGGCUAGAGUCCGGAAGAGGAGAGUGGAAUUCCUGGUGUAGAGGUGAAAUUCGUAGAUAUCAGGAGGAACACCAGUGGCGAAGGCGGCUUCCUGGACACCAACUGACGCUGAGACGCGAAAGCGUGGGGAGCAAACAGG